UCCCCCCUCCCGUGACCCUCCCACAAGAUUCCCUGCAUUUCCCUGACGUGGUGAGGGGAGGGGGCUGGCCCUCCCCUCGUGGACGGAGCGCCCCAGGGGCGCCUGGGGGCAGCUAUAGGGAAUGGGGUGCGGGGAAGGAGGGGAGCUCCCUUCUUUGGCAGCUGAACAUAGGGGGGAACCUGAGGGCGAUGCCUUUCCCCCCUUUUAUCCACAGCAGGGGAGGGGGCUAUCUAGGGGAGGAGAGGUGGCUUAAAUUCCCAAGCCCCAGAAGCAGGGAGGGGGAACGUGCGGGGAGUGUGGAGCCAUGCUGUAAGAAUGGGGGCGUAAUCUGGGAGAGAAGAAAGGGUUGGGGGAGGAGGGGGGAUCUUCGUGCAAAAUGGACAGACAGACAAAUGGUCUAAGAAUGACAGGACUGAGUGACAGCCUAGUGAGCUGGGAGCCAGCGUGCAUGCGCAGGGUCUCCUCUCCCUAGGAAAAGCAGGAGGAGGUGAGCAAAGACCUGGGUGGGUGCAGAAAAAGAGAAGAGAGGACUGGCUAAGGGUGUGCAGAGAGAGGCAAAUAUGCAAACCAAAAAAAAAAAAAAAAA
rnacentral:lncRNA from 1 species